CGAAGAACAGGUGUACCCUAGGAGGCUUACAUCAGGCGGGUAUGAACACGGAAACUGCACGCGAUUUCAAAUGGAUGCUCUUUUGACCAUGGUCUGCAAAAUUGCAACACAAAGGGGGUGACAGCAUGAAGGAUGACGCAUGCUGACAUAAUAUAAUGCAGGAUUUGCAAGAAGUGGAUGGCCAGUCCCCAGGAUCUCAUCACAGGCUUACAAGGAGGGCUUUGACCAAGUUCUCUAUCGACCAUCCAUCCAGAUUCGUUCAUCAUUGAUGGCGAGGCUUCUUUAGGUGGCGUGCCAGUGUCACCGGUGAUCGAUGCCGUGGCG